GAUGAACGCUGGCGGUGUGCCUAAUACAUGCAAGUCGAACGGGCUCUUCGGAGCUAGUGGCGGACGGGUGAGUAACACGUUGGUACCUACCCCUAAGUGGGGAAUAACUGCCCGAAAGGGUGGCUAAUACCGCAUAAUCCCGCAAGGGUAAAGCAGUAAUGCGCUUAGGGAGGGGCCUGCGUCUGAUUAGCUAGUUGGUAGUGUAAUGGACUACCAAGGCUACGAUCAGUAGCUGGAUCGAGAGGUUGACCAGCCACACUGGGACUGAGAUACGGCCCAGACUCCUACGGGAGGCAGCAGUAAGGAAUCUUCCACAAUGGACGAAAGUCUGAUGGAGCAACACCGCGUGCAGGAUGACGGUCUUCGGAUUGUAAACUGCUUUUAUAUGGGAAGAUUAUGACGGUACCAUAUGAAUAAGGACCGGCUAACUACGUGCCAGCCGCCGCGGUAAU
rnacentral:rRNA from 1 species